UUUUUUUUUUUGUUGGCACUGUUGGCUUUUGUUUCAAGGAAAAGAAAGGAGCUGGGGGGUUGGAUGGAUCUCGGCUAACGAGGUGCCUCCUGGAUAAGAUCGCUAUUGUUCGCUGCGGCGGAAGUUUAGGAUGUUUGUGCUAAGAAGAAGAAAAGUCCACGUAAGAUUUGGAAUCGCGUUCUGCCCGGCGCUCUGUACUCUCCACGCGUAGUUGGGGAAUUACAAGCUCUGUUUUUUUUAUCAAAGAAAUAAUAAAGAACAACCGUCGUGCAAAACGAAGGGGAUUUUUGUGCGCGGAGAAUCUCGAGAGGGGACGAUAAAGAAGAAGAUAUAUUCGUCAAAAGGAAAAAGGAAAAAUAAUAAUGGCACGCGUAUUGCGUGAACUGCCUUGGGCACGGGGAAGUGCACGUCUGUGUGCAGACCCGUGCGGAAUCGUCCCAGCGCGCACACACGUCCCUUGCCUGCCUGUCGACCGACUCGCGCGACCAUCCAGCAAAUCGUUCUUUCCGGUUCAGAAGAAGAUAAAAGCUUCUGCAUCUGGGAACAGUUGAGAGACGCGACAGACCUGUAAACGCGCACAUCAUCGCCCGUAACCACGAACCGCGAACCUGUUUCUUUCUUUCUUUUCUUUCUGACGGAGAAUGAUUAAGAAUAAUCCAUCCACCGAUGAUCACACGUGCCAACUGUGUCCCACUCGUGAAUGUCCUCACGCACAAUAUGUUGAGGGCGCCUCAUCGCCAUGCCUGCUUGCUGCUGCCUGUCCCAUCUCACACUCACAGGUAGGUCAAGUCACAUCGGAGACACCGUUGGCCUCAAGGAACAGUGUGCCGCAUGUUACCGCUCCAGUAGCAACAACAAGAACUUGAUCAAAGAAAAUCAUCCAAAAGUAAAUCAAGCCCACAAUGUCGACCACCCAGAUCCAAAGGACGAUAACUUCCUUCCUACAUAUGGGCUGGGCUAGCAAUAGAACAGCAGUACAGCCACGCAUGUCUCAGAAACCUGUUAUGUGAUUCUCAAACAAAAAAAGAAAAAAAAACUGUUAUGUGGCUGAAUGAAGAGCAAGCACACAAAUACGGAACAGCUUCAAAUAUUAUACGUGGGUUGAAGCGUAUAGAACGAGGACUGGGCUUUAGCCCAAUAACCAUUGCAUCUGGGAACAGUUGAGAGACGCGACAAACCUAUAAACGUACCCAUCAACGAACCCGAUCACUUUUCCUCUUUCUAACGGAGAAUGAUUACUUGAUUAUUAGGAGGAAUCGAUCCACGGUUACACGUCUCCAGUGUUAAUUAUUUCCCACUCCUGAUGCAGAAGCUGCUGCCUGCCCCCAUCUCACGAGUCACAUUGGAGACACCAUUGGCCUGAAGAAACAGGCGAGCCACAUGUUACUUCCUCCGAGUCGCUCGUCCACUCUCUACAUCAUAACUACACCUGACAUGGCAACUCUGAAUUUUACGCAGCUCUAUUAUUCAUUCAUACGGAAAGAGGUUCACACCACAUAUACUUGCACUCUUGCCUGCACCAGAACACGCACAUAACACCCACACCCACACACACACAAGCAAGUGCACGAUUGCGACGACCAGAGCACAUCAAGGCUCGAAUUAUUCCAACCUAGGCAGAUGAGGCCCACUACUGCCCAUCACUACUCACACGACGGGGUGGGCCGGGUCUCCGGCGGGCGGAGGGGCUUACGGGUUCACUUUCGGCGCCCACCCGGCGAUCAGGUUCUCCUUGGUCGCCUUGGUCUUGACGAACGACUCGCGGCUGAAGAGAGCCUGCGUGCAGGGGAAAACAUAGUCAUGAGCCUCGGUAACUUCAUCUAUGGACAAAGAUUUGGAUGUGGCAAAAGAAGGUAAUGUGUUGUUACCUCGGUGUAGGCAUGGACGCUGGUCAGGGUUUCAGGGACCUUCCAGCCCUUGAAGUGCUCCAGGGCGACCUGCAGAUGGUAGAGCUUCGGAGCCAGGCUGAGAUCGACGGCGGAGAUGUUCGCCCCGUUGAUGUAGGGUCC
rnacentral:lncRNA from 1 species